rnacentral:rRNA from 1 species
UACGGAGGGUGCAAGCGUUGUUCGGAAUCACUGGGCGUAAAGCGCGUGUAGGCGGUCUUUUAAGUCUGGUGUGAAAGCCCGGGGCUUACCCCCGGAAGGGCACUGGAUACUGGGAGACUAGAGUACCGGAGAGGAAGGUGGAAUUCCUGGUGUAGCGGUGAAAUGCGUAGAUAUCAGGAGGAACACCGGUGGCGAAGGCGGUUCUCUGGGCAUUACCUGACGCUGAGGAGCGAAAGUGUGGGGAGCGAACAGG